rnacentral:rRNA from 1 species
CCUACGGGCGGCAGCAGUGAGGAAUAUUGGUCAAUGGGCGCUAGCCUGAACCAGCCAAGUAGCGUGAAGGAUGACUGCCCUAUGGGUUGUAAGCUUCUUUUAUAGGGGAAUAAAGUGCAGAGUGUAUACUGCUUUGCAUGUACCUUAUGAGUAGGGAUCGGCUAACUCCGUUCCAGCCGCGGCGGUAAUACGGAGGGGCCGAGCGUUAUCCGGAUUGAUUGGGUUUAAAGGGAGCGUAGGCGGGUUGUUAAGUCAGUUGUGAAAGUUUCCGGCUCAACCGUAAAAUUGCAGUUGAUACUGGCAUCCUUGAGUCCAGUAGAGGUAGGUGGAAUUCGUGGUGUAGCGGUGAAAUGCUUAGAUAUCACGAAGAACUCCGAUUGCGAAGGCAGCCUGCUGGACUGUAACUGACGCUGAUGCUCGAAAGUGUGGGUAUCAAACAGGAUUAGAUACCCGGGUAGUC